GAGAGUAUAACUCAAGUGGUAGAGAGUAUGCUUAGUAUGCAUGAGAUCCUGGGUUCAAUACCCAGUAUCUCC
rnacentral:tRNA from 1 species